GUUUUUGUAGUUGAAUAACAACAGCGGUUUUUCAGGUCGCAGGUUUUGGUUAAAAUCCAAAUGAAAAUA
rnacentral:tRNA from 1 species